AUUGAACGCUGGCGGCAUGCCUUACACAUGCAAGUCGAACGGCAGCACGGGAGCAAUCCUGGUGGCGAGUGGCGAACGGGUGAGUAAUAUAUCGGAACGUGCCCAGUCGUGGGGGAUAACGUAGCGAAAGCUACGCUAAUACCGCAUACGAUCUAUGGAUGAAAGCGGGGGAUCGCAAGACCUUGCGCGAUUGGAGCGGCCGAUAUCAGAUUAGGUAGUUGGUGGGGUAAAGGCUCACCAAGCCGACGAUCUGUAGCUGGUCUGAGAGGACGACCAGCCACACUGGGACUGAGACACGGCCCAGACUCCUACGGGAGGCAGCAGUGGGGAAUUUUGGACAAUGGGCGCAAGCCUGAUCCAGCAAUGCCGCGUGCAGGAUGAAGGCCUUCGGGUUGUAAACUGCUUUUGUACGGAGCGAAAAGGCUUCCACUAAUACUGGGGGCUCAUGACGGUACCGUAAGAAUAAGCACCGGCUAACUACGUGCCAGCCGCCGCCGUAACAC
rnacentral:rRNA from 1 species